rnacentral:rRNA from 1 species
AUUGAACGCUGGCGGCAGGCCUAACACAUGCAAGUCGAGCGGAGCGGCGGACGGGUGAGUAAUGCCUAGGAAUCUGCCUGGUAGUGGGGGAUAACGUCCGGAAACGGGCGCUAAUACCGCAUACUAUCAGAUGAGCCUAGGUCGGAUUAGCUAGUUGGUGGGGUAAAGGCCUACCAAGGCGACGAUCCGUAACUGGUCUGAGAGGAUGAUCAGUCACACUGGAACUGAGACACGGUCCAGACUCCUACGGGAGGCAGCAGUGGGGAAUAUUGCACAAUGGGCGCAAGCCUGAUGCAGCCAUGCCGCGUGUAUGAAGAAGGCCUUCGGGUUGUAAAGUACUUUCAGCGGGGAGGCGUUACCCGCAGAAGAAGCACCGGCUAACUCCGUGCCAGCAGCCGCGGUAAUAC